CUUCCCUAUUGUUUAUUCAUUUCCAAAUAUGAACAAAAUUAAUUAAAUUUCCUCAAUUCUUGUCUGAUUCAAUUGUCUGCAGGUCAGCAACUUAGAUGUGUGCUGGUUUUCAGUCACCAGAAUGAGGUUGCACAAAUCUACUGGCCUUUGUGUGUGUGAUAUGGAGUUGCAGUGAGAAAGUCCACAGUGUGGCAACUUAUGGUAAUGUCCUUGUAUAUUUGAUGGCCAAACAACAUCUUUCUUUAUUAAAGUUAUGUGUUUUUUACUAAGGCAUUUUUUCUUUGAUGGCAGAUAACAAUACUUCAAUUGGUUGUCUUAUAAGGAUAAGGAUACUCGUAAAAAUAGCUGCACUGUAUAAAUUCAUUUUAUUAAAUUAUUCUUGCAUGUAGAUUAUGCAAUCUUAUUUUUACUUUCAAUGACCUGUGUAGUUAUUUCCCAUUUUAUGAAAAUAUAGGUUAACUACCUCAGAGAACCUUGUUGUCUCAAUUCAAUAGAGUAUCGAAUGGGCGGAUGCACAAGGGAAUUGGAACUGACGGAAUGUAGCACAAAAAAGUGAAAGAAAGAGUUGAGGAAGUGAAGAAAUCUGUUGUUGCAGAAUUUGUUAUAGUUUGCUCAAAUCCAUCCGAAUAGUUUGAUUUAAUAUUAUUUAAUUGUAAUGAUGUACAGCUAUUCAUAAAUACAUUCUUGUAAUUAAUUAUAGACAACUUCUAUUUACUACAGUUCAAA